UACGUAGGGGGCAAGCGUUGUCCGGAUUUAUUGGGCGUAAAGAGCGUGUAGGCGGCCAGGUAGGUCCGUUGUGAAAACUCGAGGCUCAACCUCGAGACGCCGAUGGAAACCAUCUGGCUAGAGUCCGGAAGAGGAGAGUGGAAUUCCCGGUGUAGCGGUGAAAUGCGCAGAUAUCGGGAAGAACACCAGAGGCGAAGGCGGGUUACUGGGCUGAUACUGACGCUGAUGCGCGAAAGCCAGGGGAGCAAACAGG
rnacentral:rRNA from 1 species